UAUCUGAGACUGAGCCAGAUGCAGCGUCCCAGUGGAGCUGUCUCACCACUUUAUUCAGCACAAACUUUCCCUUUGCUCCUCUCUACUCUAGAAAACGACUGGCCGUUGCACGUCUGAGGGACCUAAACCCCCAAACGCCUCCAUUUUUAGCUGCAGUUGUGGCAUGGCUUUGCCCCAGACUCCAGUAUCCCAUCAACUAUCCAACGGAUUGACAUGGACUUUUUUUUUUCCCCUCUGACUUUGGUGAUCACAUGAUUUUUCCUCUGGGGCCACCAGCAGAUCAAAUUUCAGCCCAGUGUCCCUAUAGACUGAAGUGUGCUCUUUCAUGCAGAGAGGUGGAGGGGAAAUCUGAUUUUAAAGCCUUGGGCUAAGGGGGCAUACGCGGCUACAGAGCCGGCACAUCCAGUCACAACCCCGGCAGGGAUCCUGUUAACCCCGGUGUCAUGGUGCUUUCUCGUAUGCUUUGUGGAGGCCAUGCUCUGUGAGAUUUUGUCCAUCCCAUCUAAAUCAGUGAGGGUAAAUAACAGAAUCUCGUCUCUGUAUCAGGCAAGACGUUUCAACGGCAACACACUCACAGAUUCAGUGGGUAGAUCUGACUGUGAAAGGGAUGUUUUGAAAUUAACUUUAACUUUAAUGCCCUGCAGCAACUUCAUGUGACACAUGCCAAUGCUUGUAUAUGUAGUUUACUGAUCUCUAGGCACUGCUUGCAACAUGAGCUACACACACACACACACACACACACACACACACACACACACACACACACACACACACACACAGCUGAAACCGUUUGUCUGAUAUGAGAUUGUCUGGUCACAGUCUGCAUAAGGAAGAGAGAUUUUAUCUGAAAUAUUUUGUCCUGAGUUCUUUGUGCUGUCAAUAAAAUUCUUUUCCAAGUUAA